GACGAACGCUGGCGGCGUGCUUAACACAUGCAAGUCGAACGGAAAGGCCCUGCUUUUGUGGGGUGCUCGAGUGGCGAACGGGUGAGUAACACGUGAGUAACCUGCCCUUGACUUUGGGAUAACUUCAGGAAACUGGGGCUAAUACCGGAGAGGAGCUCCUGCUGCAUGGUGGGGGUUGGAAAGUUUCGGCGGUAGGGGAUGGACUCGCGGCUUAUCAGCUUGUUGGGGGGGUAGUGGCUUACCAAGGCUAUGACGGGUAGCCGGCAUGAGAGGUGGACCGGCCACAUGGGGCCUGAGAGAGGGCCCAGAAGCCUACGGGAGGCAGCAGGGGGGAGUAUGGCGGAAUGGGCGGAAGCGUGAUACGGCAACGUCGGGUGCGGGAUGCCCUCUUUCGGGUGGUGAACCGCUUUGGACUGUGACGAAGAGUGAGUGACGGUAAUGGGUAAAGAAGCACCGGCUAACUACGUG
rnacentral:rRNA from 1 species